rnacentral:rRNA from 1 species
UGUCUUUUAAAUAAAGACUAGAAUGAAUGGCCAAACGAGGUUCUACCUGUCUCUUAUGAAUAAUCAGUGAAAUUGAUCUUCCUGUGCAAAAGCAGGAAUAACAUUAUAAGACGAGAAGACCCUGUGGAACUUCAAAUACAAAUCAACUAUUACCGAUACCCGCCUACGGGCCCAUAUCAAACCAGCAUAUGAUUUAUAUUUUCGGUUGGGGCGACCUCGGAGUAAAAUAAAACCUCCGAAAAAAGAAUUAUCUCUAAACCUAGACCUACCCCCCAAAGUGCUCCCGGCAAAACGAUCCAAUAUAAUUGAUCAACGAACCAAGCUACCCCAGGGAUAACAGCGCAAUCCCAUCCUAGAGUCCCUAUCGACGAUGGAGUUUACGACCUCGAUGUUGGAUCAGGACAUCCUGAUGGUGCAGCCGCUAUCAAGGGUUCGUUUGUUCAACGAUUAAUAGU